rnacentral:rRNA from 1 species
CUGGCGGCGUGCCUAAUACAUGCAAGUCGAACGCACUCUCGUUUAGAUUGAAGGAGCUUGCUCCUGAUUGAUAAACAUUUGAGUGAGUGGCGGACGGGUGAGUAACACGUGGGUAACCUGCCCUAAAGUGGGGGAUAACAUUUGGAAACAGAUGCUAAUACCGCAUAAAACCUAACACCGCAUGGUGUAGGGUUGAAAGAUGGUUUCGGCUAUCACUUUAGGAUGGACCCGCGGCGCAUUAGUUAGUUGGUGAGGUAAAGGCUCACCAAGACCGUGAUGCAUAGCCGACCUGAGAGGGUAAUCGGCCACACUGGGACUGAGACACGGCCCAGACUCCUACGGGAGGCAGCAGUAGGGAAUCUUCCACAAUGGACGAAAGUCUGAUGGAGCAACGCCGCGUGAGUGAAGAAGGUUUUCGGAUCGUAAAACUCUGUUGUUGGAGAAGAAUGUAUCUGAUAGUAACUGAUCAGGUAGUGACGGUAUCCAACCAGAAAGCCACGGCUAACUACGUG